rfam:Postia placenta Mad-698-R POSPLscaffold_86_Cont4246, whole genome shotgun sequence.
GGUGAGAUGGCCGAGCGGUCUAAGGCGCCAGACUAAGGUUGCCGAAAUCUGGUCCGAAAGGGCGUCGGUUCGAAUCCCACUCUCAUCA